rnacentral:rRNA from 1 species
UACGUAGGGUGCGAGCGUUGUCCGGAAUUAUUGGGCGUAAAGAGCUUGUAGGCGGUUUGUCGCGUCUGCCGUGAAAAUUCGAGGCUCAACCUCGAACUUGCGGUGGGUACGGGCAGGCUAGAGUGCGGUAGAGGGUAGUGGAAUUCCCGGUGUAGCGGUGAAAUGCGUAGAGAUCGGGAGGAACACCAGUGGCGAAGGCGGCUACCUGGACCAGCACUGACACUGAGGCACGAAAGCGUGGGAGCAAACAGGG